rnacentral:rRNA from 1 species
UAAACGUAAGGAAGGAACCCAACAGGGGAUUGCCCUAGUAACGGCGAGUGCAAGCGGCAACAGCUCAAAUUUGAAAUCUGGCUCUUUUAGAGUCCGAGUUGUAAUUUGCAGAGGGCGCUUUGGCUUUGGCAGCGGUCCAAGUUCCUUGGAACAGGACGUCACAGAGGGUGAGAAUCCCGUACGUGGUCGCUGGCUAUUGCCGUGUAAAGCCCCUUCGACGAGUCGAGUUGUUUGGGAAUGCAGCUCUAAAUGGGAGGUACAUUUCUUCUAAAGCUAAAUAUUGGCCAGAGACCGAUAGCGCACAAGUAGAGUGAUCGAAAGAUGAAAAGCACUUUGGAAAGAGAGUCAAACAGCACGUGAAAUUGUUGAAAGGGAAGCGCUUGCAGCCAGACUUGCUUACAGUUGCUCAUCCGGGUUUCUACCCGGUGCACUCUUCUGUAGGCAGGCCAGCAUCAGUUUGGGCGGUAGGAUAAAGGUCUCUGUCACGUACCUCCUUUCGGGGAGGCCUUAUAGGGGAGACGACAUACUACCAGCCUGGACUGAGGUCCGCGCAUCUGCUAGGAUGCUGGCGUAAUGGCUGUAAGCGGCCCGUCUUGAAACACGGACCAAGGAGUCUAACAUCUAUGCGAGUGUUUGGGUGUCAAGCCCGAGCGCGUAAUGAAAGUGAACGGAGGUGGGAACCCGCAAGGGUGCACCAUCGACCGAUCCUGAUGUCUUCGGAAGGAUUUGAGUAAGAGCAUGGCUGUUGGGACCCGAAAGAUGGUGAACUAUGCUUGAAUAGGGUGAAGCCAGAGGAAACUCUGGUGGAGGCUCGCAGCGGUUCUGACGUGCAAAUCGAUCGUCAAAUUUGGGCAUAGGGGCGAAAGACUAAUCGAACUAUCUAGUAGCUGGUUCCUGCCGAAGUUUCCUCGGGAA